GAUGAACGCUGGCGGCGUGCCUAAUACAUGCAAGUCGAGCGAACAGACGAUGAGGUUGCUCCUCUGACGGUAGCGGCGUACGUGUGAGUAACACGUGGAUAACCUACCUAUAGGACUAGGAUAACUUCGUGAAACUGGUGCUGAUUCCGUGUAAUUUAUUGAACCGCAUGGUUCAAUAGUUAAAGACGGUUUUGCUGUCCCUUAUGGAUGUAUCCGCGCCGCAUUAGAUAUUUGGUAAGGUAACGGCUUACCGUGGCGAUGAUGCGUAGCCGACCGGAGAGGGGGAACCGCGCCACUGGGACUGAGACGCGAUACAGAGUCCUACGGGAGGCCGAAGUAGGGAAGGUACGGAAAUGGGCGGAAGCCUGCAGGAGCAACGCCAGGCGAAUGAAGCAGGUCUUCGGAUCGUAAGACUCUGUUAUUAGGGAAGACCACAUGUGUAAGUAACGAUGCAUGUCUUGACGGUACCUACACAGAAAGCAACGGCUAACUACGUG
rnacentral:rRNA from 1 species